GACGAACGCUGGCGGCGGGCUUAACACAUGCAAGUCGAACGGAAAGACCCUGCUUUUGUGGGGUGCUCGAGUGGCGAACGGGUGAGUAACACGUGAGUAACCUGCCCUUGACUUUGGGAUAACUUCAGGAAACUGGGGCUAAUACCGGAUAGGAGCUCCUGCUGCAUGGUGGGGGUUGGAAAGUUUCGGCGGUUGGGGAUGGACUCGCGGCUUAUCAGCUUGUUGGUGGGGUAGUGGCUUACCAAGGCGUUGACGGGUAGCCGGCCUGAGAGGGUGACCGGCCACAUUGGGACUGAGAUACGGCCCAGACUCCUACGGGAGGCAGCAGUGGGGAAUAUUGCCCAAUGGGCGGAAGCCUUAUGCAGCAACGCCGCGUGCGGGAUGACGGCCUUCGGGUUGUAAACCGCUUUCGCCUGUGACGAAGCGUUAGUGACGGUAAUGGGUAAAGAAGCACCGGCUAACUACGUG
rnacentral:rRNA from 1 species